rnacentral:tRNA from 1 species
GGCCCCAUCGUCUAGCGGUCUAGGACACCGCCCUUUCACGGCGGUAACACGGGUUCGAGUCCCGUUGGGGUCA